ensembl:lncRNA
GAGAGGAGAGAGUGAGUGAGAGGGACAGAGAGGUAGCAGUCAGCAACAUGUAGCCUCGCCGAGUGGAGGAAAGGUCGAAACUGUGUGUGCGCGAUUCUUUGCUCUUUUCUUUUUUGUCGGGAGGGGUGAUAUGUUUCGCUUUCAUCCCGAGGACAUUAUCCCGCAACAUUAGAAUCGAUCAGGCUCUAUGCCGCAGGAAAUGUCCAGCGGAGGGAUGGACGGAUGGAUUGUGGUGCACGGAGAGAAGACGCGGAGAGCAAAAAGAGAAGAAAAAGAGUGCGGGGCUCCUGAAAACAUGCGCUCCAUCAGCCUUUGUGAAUGGAUGCCUGAGAGCAAGGAGAUGAAUGGACCUGCAUUGUGUAGAGAGGAAACUAAGUGAACCUGCAGUGCCAAAUCAAGAGAGAUUGGCAUGGAGGUGGGAGGUGAAGGAGGAGAAAAGAGAAGGAAAGGCGAAAAAGAGAUGAUUACAGGAAGAUUAAAGGAUGUACUGUACUGUGCAAAAGUCUGGAGUCAUCCUUCAUGACUUUA